rnacentral:misc_RNA from 1 species
AAAUUUUCGCAACUGGAGUUGUCCUCGGUGGUUAUUUGGCCAUUAUGACUGUUAUUUUCUUCUGGGCUGCAUACAAGACCGACUUCUUCCCGCGUGUCUUUAAGGUUGAGAGCCUUGAGAAAACGGCUCAAGAUGACUUCCAAAAGCUUGCAUCUGCAGUCUACCUGCAAGUUAGUACCAUCAGCCAGGCCCUUAUAUUUGUGACACGGUCGCGCAGUUGGUCAUUUGUUGAGAGGCCUGGAUUGUUGCUCGUUGCGGCUUUCAUGGUCGCUCAGCUGAUAGCGACACUUAUAGCUGUGUAUGCGGACUGGGGAUUUGCUGCGAUCAAAGGGAUUGGCUGGGGCUGGGCUGGCAUCGUU